UUUCCGUAGGUGAACCUGCGGAAGGAUCAUUAUCGUACAAACUGUGAUGUGCAUGAGAGUGCUGUCGCUGACACAAAAAUCGUGCACUCCCGAUUGUGUCCUCUUUCCUUAUAAUCCAUCUCACUCUUUGUGCUUCACCGCGCGGGCCACCGUCGGGCUCAUCUCGUAAGGGGUGUCUCGUUUUCACACAAGCCCCCCUUUUAAAAGUUAAAAAUGACCACAUUUGUUCACUCAAUACAACUUUCAACGACGAAUCCCUUGGCUCGCACAUCGAUAAAG
rnacentral:misc_RNA from 1 species